rnacentral:rRNA from 1 species
GGGUUUGACAUAUAGGUUGUAGGGAACUGAAAGGGACCGACCUUCGGGGAGCCUAUACAGGUGUUGCAUGGCUGUCGUCAGCUCGUGUCGUGAGAUGUUCGGUUAAGUCCGCUAACGAGCGCAACCCUCGUCGUAUGUUAUAUGUGUCAUACGAGACUGCCGGUAAAAAGCCGGAGGAAGGUGAGGAUGAUGUCAAGUCAGCAUGACCUUUAUAUCCAGGGCUACACACACGCUACAAUGGUCUGUACAAUGGGUAGCCAAGCCGCGAGGCGGAGCCAAUCCUGAAAGCAGGCCUCAGUUCAGAUUGCAGUCUGCAACUCGACUGCAUGAAGCCGGAGUUGCUAGUAACCGCAGGUCAGCAAUACUGCGGUGAAUACGUUCCCGGGUCUU